ensembl:lncRNA
GUGAACCCAGGUUUCUUGCAUUACAGGCAGAUUCUUUACUAUCUGAGCCACCUGGGAAGCCCAGACUCCAGGAUGCAUGCUUGCAACUAAACUAUGUGUCACUGCUGAUUCUUCUUGGCAGACUGACAUGUGUCCACUGGCGAACAUUCCAAGUUCUACUGGAAACGUGUUCAACUCUGCUCCUUCGAAUCAUGAAAGGAUUUGCAAACUAGUGUUACCAUUUUCUAGUAUAAUACGUGAUUUGGCUUUGCAUUAUUUCACACUUACGGUAAGUUUUAUCUAUCAAGUACUUUCUAUCAAGUCGAUGUACAUAUUUGUUACCAUUCACUGUUCUAAGACAACCGUCUACUCAUCACUGUUUAGAUCAUCAUGAGGGCUGAGAUUGAUGAAAGACAAAAAUGGGCGGCCUGCAUCAAUGGAGAAAUGAAAUUAAUUGUUAACCAGUCCUUUUAUCCUUUACGGCAAAAUCUCCCUACAGCCAACUAGUUAUGGGCGAAAAUGUUUGCAGCAAAGGUGCUUACAGAAAAGAAGAUUUAGGACAAAAAUACCCAGAACUGCUACUCGUAUUUAUUAUCACUGUUGGUCAAGUUCACACACCGCAGAUUAACAGUGAACAUGGGGGAGGGGCAGUCAGCACAGAUCGUCCACAUGGAGAGGAGUCUUUGGGGACAUGAAGAGCUAGAGCUGCAGUUUGGAAGCAGGUAACUCACAGAAUAAAUGUUGAGCUGUUUUUCCUACCCCCUCCCAAAGACUGUUAGACCAGGCAGGACUAUGGUGUUUUUCUCUCCCGUUUGCAAAGUACAACAAGGAGGCUCGUCCUGCCUGCCCGUGUGGAAAGGCACAGAUGGGGUAGAUUGCCUGCCUUCUCCCUCAUCGGUGCCUGGUCCAGGGUGCAGGCUCAGGAAGCUCAGAGGUCACUCCUCCACGCAACUGGACCUAUUCUCUGCUCUCAUGACCCUGCAAACAGGAAGACCGGGACGAGGUGAAGUCACCUCUGAGCCAGCCUACCAUCUCCUGUUUCCUCCCCAGCCUGCCAUCUCCUAGAAGUCACAGCAAGAAUGCAAACCUGCAGGAAAGGACCAGGCUUGCUUGCAUCGUCUCCAUUCACCCCCACCCCCCCCCACCCCUGCCACCCAGCAGAGCAUUUCUGCAGACACUGCUUCCAUGUCAUCCGUUUCAUGAGCAGAAUUUCCACCUCAACAUUUGAGCUUGUCCUUCACUCCCCAGCCUGAUGAUGAAAAUGACACUGGGACAUGGAGCAACAAUACUCAUAACAGCUGCUACACGAUACCCAAGCAGGUGACACACUUUGCUCCUGCAGCGGGAUUAGAACCUGGAUUGAACUUGGUGCUUUUCCUUGAUGCCUCUCCUUAUAUAAGACUUUCCAUCAAUCAGAGGCCUCUUCCUUGCCUCCAGGAAGAUUAUGGUAACUUUCUGAUAUCCAAAGGCAGCUGCCAAGCCAAGGCCUAUAGAACAAUCUCGCCCCUUUGAGGGAGGUCACAUAACCCAGGAUAAGCAGCCCCAGCAACACCUGGAAAGAGCCUUCCAAGAACAGCUGCCCCAGGACCGUCGGUGGUCCAGAAGGACUCCUACUGCCCCGAUGGAAUCCCUUCUUCAAAGGAGAUUUACAGACCCCUUAAAAGAUGGACAGCAGUGAGGAAGAGAAGUGGUAAUGCUGUGGAGAGAACAGUGGCAAACCCCCCUCCCCCAUCAAACAUGAAUUAAAAUAUUUAACCCUCACAAAAAGAUCACAUGAAAGGUGAAUAUUAUCGUGUCUGAUUCACAGAGAAUGAAAACAGAGAAGUAAAAGGUCUCAGAGUCCCCGUGGUUGGUGAGCUGGGAUUCAAACCUGCUUCAUCUACUUCUAAUUCCAGGUCCUCUCUUGUUCCCAGCUUCUUUCACAUACAAGAAAGGUCAUGCUUGGCCUUGUGCAGAAGGACACACGCUUGCCCUCAGGUAACUUCCAAGUGACUCAGGAAAGCAAAAAAAAAUUAUUUAAGCAGAAGUGGAAUAUCAUAACAGGCAAGGAACAGAACACUCUAGAUGAGGGAAGAAAGCCUGUCAACUAAGUCUCCUGGAAAGCAGAUGCCAAGGGGGUGUCAGGUGAGCAAAAGGCUUACUGGGGAGUAAUACCUGAGUAGGGGCUCAAUAGUGUCCUCCCCCCAAAAAAUAUGUUCAAGUCCAAUCCCCCAGAACCUGUGCAUGUGACUUAUUUGGGAAACAGUCUUUGCAGAUGUAAUCAAGGUAAGAUGAGGUCACACUGGACUAGGGGGCCCUACAUCCAAAGUCAGGCUUCCCUAGUGGCUCAAACGGUAAAGAAUUCACCUGCAAUGCAAGAGACCUGGAUUCAAUCCCUGGGUCGGGAAGAUCCUCUGGAGAAGAAAAU